rnacentral:rRNA from 1 species
UACAGAGGUCUCGAGCGUUGUUCGGAUUCAUUGGGCGUAAAGGGUGCGUAGGUGGCACUGUAAGUCGGGUGUGAAAUCUCGGAGCUUAACUCCGAAACUGCAUUCGAUACUGCCGUGCUUGAGGACUGGAGAGGAGACUGGAAUUUACGGUGUAGCGGUGAAAUGCGUAGAUAUCGUAAGGAAGACCAGUGGCGAAGGCGGGUCUCUGGACAGUUCCUGACGCUGAGGCACGAAGGUCAGGGGAGCAAACGGG